CCUACGGGGCGCACCAGUGGGGAAUGUUGCACAAUGGGCGCAAGCCUGAUGCAGGCAUGCCGCGUGUAUGAAGAAGGCCUUCGGGUUGUAAAGUACUUUCAGCGGGGAGGAAGGCGAUAAGGUUAAUAACCUUGUCGAUUGACGUUACCCGCAGAAGAAGCACCGGCUAACUCCGUGCUAGCAGCCGCGGUAAUACGGAGGGUGCAAGCGUUAAUCGGAAUUACUGGGCGUAAAGCGCACGCAGGCGGUCUGUCAAGUCGGAUGUGAAAUCCCCGGGCUCAACCUGGGAACUGCAUUCGAAUCUGGCAGGCUAGAGUCUUGUAGAGGGGGGUAGAAUUCCAGGUGUAGCGGUGAAAUGCGUAGAGAUCUGAAGGAAUACCAGUGGCGAAGGCGGCCCCCUGGACAAAGACUGACGCUCAGAUGCGAAAGCGUGGGGAGCAAACAGGAUUAGAUACCCGCGUAGUC
rnacentral:rRNA from 1 species